rnacentral:rRNA from 3 species
GGUAGAGCACUGUUUCGGCUAGGGGGCCAUCCCGGCUUACCAACCCGAUGCAAACUGCGAAUACCGGAGAAUGUUAUCACGGGAGACACACGGCGGGUGCUAACGUCCGUCGUGAAGAGGGAAACAACCCAGACCGCCAGCUAAGGUCCCAAAGUCAUGGUUAAGUGGGAAACGAUGUGGGAAGGCCCAGACAGCCAGGAUGUUGGCUUAGAAGCAGCCAUCAUUUAAAGAAAGCGUAAUAGCUCACUGGUCGAGUCGGCCUGCGCGGAAGAUGUAACGGGGCUAAACCAUGCACCGAAGCUGCGGCAGCGACACUGUGUGUUGUUGGGUAGGGGAGCGUUCUGUAAGCCUGUGAAGGUGUGUCGUGAGGCAUGCUGGAGGUAUCAGAAGUGCGAAUGCUGACAUAAGUAACGAUAAAGCGGGUGAAAAGCCCGCUCGCCGGAAGACCAAGGGUUCCUGUCCAACGUUAAUCGGGGCAGGGUGAGUCGACCCCUAAGGCGAGGCCGAAAGGCGUAGUCGAUGGGAAACGGGUUAAUAUUCCCGUACUUGGUGUUACUGCGAAGGGGGGACGGAGAAGGCUAUGUUGGCCGGGCGACGGUUGUCCCGGUUUAAGCGUGUAGGUGUGUGUUCCAGGUAAAUCCGGUUCACUUUAACACUGAGGCGUGACGACGAGGCACUACGGUGCUGAAGCAACAAAUGCCCUGCUUCCAGGAAAAGCCUCUAAGCAUCAGGUAACAUCAAAUCGUACCCCAAACCGACACAGGUGGUCAGGUAGAGAAUACCAAGGCGCUUGAGAGAACUCGGGUGAAGGAACUAGGCAAAAUGGUGCCGUAACUUCGGGAGAAGGCACGCUGACACGUAGGUGAAGUGAUUUACUCAUGGAGCUGAAGUCAGUCGAAGAUACCAGCUGGCUGCAACUGUUUAUUAAAAACACAGCACUGUGCAAACACGAAAGUGGACGUAUACGGUGUGACGCCUGCCCGGUGCCGGAAGGUUAAUUGAUGGGGUCAGCGCAAGCGAAGCUCCUGAUCGAAGCCCCGGUAAACGGCGGCCGUAACUAUAACGGUCCUAAGGUAGCGAAAUUCCUUGUCGGGUAAGUUCCGACCUGCACGAAUGGCGUAAUGAUGGCCAGGCUGUCUCCACCCGAGACUCAGUGAAAUUGAACUCGCUGUGAAGAUGCAGUGUACCCGCGGCAAGACGGAAAGACCCCGUGAACCUUUACUAUAGCUUGACACUGAACAUUGAGCCUUGAUGUGUAGGAUAGGUGGGAGGCUUUGAAGUGUGGACGCCAGUCUGCAUGGAGCCGACCUUGAAAUACCACCCUUUAAUGUUUGAUGUUCUAACGUGGACCCGUUACCCGGGUUGCGGACAGUGUCUGGUGGGUAGUUUGACUGGGGCGGUCUCCUCCUAAAGAGUAACGGAGGAGCACGAAGGUUGGCUAAUCCUGGUCGGACAUCAGGAGGUUAGUGCAAUGGCAUAAGCCAGCUUGACUGCGAGCGUGACGGCGCGAGCAGGUGCGAAAGCAGGUCAUAGUGAUCCGGUGGUUCUGAAUGGAAGGGCCAUCGCUCAACGGAUAAAAGGUACUCCGGGGAUAACAGGCUGAUACCGCCCAAGAGUUCAUAUCGACGGCGGUGUUUGGCACCUCGAUGUCGGCUCAUCACAUCCUGGGGCUGAAGUAGGUCCCAAGGGUAUGGCUGUUCGCCAUUUAAAGUGGUACGCGAGCUGGGUUUAGAACGUCGUGAGACAGUUCGGUCCCUAUCUGCCGUGGGCGCUGGAGAACUGAGGGGGGCUGCUCCUAGUACGAGAGGACCGGAGUGGACGCAUCACUGGUGUUCGGGUUGUCAUGCCAAUGGCACUGCCCGGUAGCUAAAUGCGGAAGAGAUAAGUGCUGAAAGCAUCUAAGCACGAAACUUGCCCCGA